UACGGUUAAUACGGUUAGGGG
rnacentral:piRNA from 1 species